rnacentral:rRNA from 1 species
GUAGGAGGCAAGCGUUAUCCGGAUUCACUGGGCGUAAAGCGCGUGCAGGUGGCGUGGUAAGUUGGAUGUGAAAUCUCCCGGCUCAACUGGGAGAGGUCAUUCAAUACUACCGUGCUUGAGAGCAGAAGAGGAAGAUGGAAUUCCCGGUGUAGUGGUGAAAUGCGUAGAUAUCGGGAGGAACACCAGUGGCGAAGGCGAUCUUCUGGUCUGUUUCUGACACUCAGACGCGACAGCUAGGGUAGUAAACGGGAUUAGAGACCCCGGUAAUCCUAGCCGUAAACGAUGUAAACUUGGCGUUGGUGGGUUAAACUCCAUCAGUGCCGCAGCAAACGCGAUAAGUUUACCGCCUGGGGACUACGGCCGCAAGGUUAAA